GGGCCAUCCUCACCAGAUGCCUGAACCACCUCAGCUGGCUCCUUUCAAUGCAAAGAAGCAGCGGCUCUACUCUAAGUUCCUCCUGGAUAGUCGAACGUCUCACCCUGUGCA